rnacentral:rRNA from 1 species
UUAUCUCUGUAGAGUCUGCAUAUCAAUAAGCGGAGGAAAAGAAACUAACAAGGAUUCCCUUAGUAACGGCGAGUGAAGCGGGAAGAGCUCAAAUUUGAAAUCUUCAAGGUUUGACCUUGACGAAUUGUAGUUUAUAGAAGUGUUUUCUGUUGGAGUUUUGGUAAAAGUUCUUUGGAAUAGGACAUCAUAGAGGGUGAGAAUCCCGUAUUUGACCAUGACUUUCCAGCUGUGUGAUACACUUUCAAAGAGUCGGAUUGUUUGGGAAUGCAGUCCAAAAUGGGUGGUAAAUUUCAUCUAAAGCUAAAUAUUGGCGAGAGACCGAUAGCGAACAAGUACCGUGAGGGAAAGAUGAAAAGAACUUUGAAAAGAGAGCUAAACAGUACGUGAAAUUGUCAAAAGUGAAGCGUUUGACACCAGUGUUGUUUUCUCGAAAAUCAAUUAAAUGGCGGAUUCUUGUUUUAAGUAUGUGACUUUAUCAGGCAUUUCUUCACUUUUUCCUGGCUCAUUUGAGUGCACUUUUCGUUUAACAAGUCAACAUCAAUUUCUUUUGUUGUAAAAGGGUCAUUGGAAGGUGGCUUUCUUUUCGGAGAAAGUGUUUAUAGCCUUUGGCCUCUGCAAUCGGAGAGAUUGAGGUCUGCAGCGUAGAUCCUUCGGGGUUAGAUACAUUUGUGCUAAGUUAUAGCCUUUCAUAGACAACUUGUUGACUAUGAUCAGUCAUGUAGCUUACUCGCUUAUGCUAUUUUACCUACGCUUAGGAUGUUGAGUCAUCACACAUCUCU